CCAAGGUUAAGCUGGUGGAAAGUUCUCUGGUACGUGCACACACCCCUACACAGAGCCCUAUCAGCUGUACACACACAAACACACAGAAGCACACACAUACCACAAGCCGACACCACACACAGAGACACGAAUUACACACAACAUACAGACACACAGAAACACAUAAGCUACACACAAGGAACACAAACAGACACACACAGACUACAAGCAGGCACCACCUACACAGACGCGAACUACACACUGUGCACAAACACACACAGAAAUAGAAAUAGGCACACACAGAGACAUAGGAGCUACACACAGACACGUAAAUCACACAGGCACUGCUCAGGGAUUGCAAGCAGUAGAAGCUCUUGGCUCUGUCCACAGUGUAACAGCAGAACCCCAAACAGUGUCCUUAUCAGAGAUGCCUCCAUAAAUCUCCCCAGGACACUCGCUUAUUCAGGGAGCAACUGCCACCAGAUAUUUGGAAGCCACGUCCUUGUAACAAGCACAUUACAGAGCAACACGGCACAUCCUACCCAGAGUGGCCCAGGUCUGCCCAGCAAUCGGGGACCAAGGGUACCUGCAGCACCGGGGGCACAGGGACACCACAGUCCCCGGCCAUGGGUCCAACCUCUGAGAUUACAUCCAGCACUGCAUUUGCCAUCUCAGUCUCUCUCAGACUGCCAUGCGCAUCAGGUGUGGCCACAGCUCACAAGCACAUCCGGUGACCCCCUCCUUGUAGGGCAAGAGGGGCACAAGGAGCCUGCAACCACGAAGCACCAGCUCCCACCCGAGAUGUCAGCUCAUCCUCACUCAUCCUCUUCCAACACCUUGAGAGACUUUCACAGGGCAGAUGGUGGCAAAAGGGCCAUGUGGAAGCAGCCUGAGCAGACGGCAUGCACCAGAGGAGAGCCGGGGUGUGCAGGCAACUGCGCAUGAGCACUGAACGGCAACAGCAUUGUCGGAAGUCUACAGUAGCUUAACUCGAAUGACCUGAGUGCCUUGAGGGGCACUUCUGUGAUCAGAAGUGACUGGAGUCAGUCCAGGAAAGAUGUGGCUUCUCCUGAGCUGGGAAGAUUUGGCUCCAAAACAAGAUCUGACCACAGAUUUACACCUUUCUUGGAAGAUCAGGAAAUUCUCAGGGGAAACUUCCAAAUAAAGCCUCCCUAACACUUAUUAGCCA
rnacentral:lncRNA from 1 species